GGGUAAGAAGAAGGGUCCUCUGGUUUUCUGGGAUUUUGACAGUCAGGACGAAUACAGUGAAUACAUGAACAACAAGGAGUCUCUUCCAAAGGUUGCUUUCCAGUAUGGCAUUAAGAUGUCUGAGGGGAGGAAGACUCGUCACUUCAAGGAGACCUAUGAGUAGGCAGAGCUGGACAGGCAGGGGAAGAAGAUCAGUGCUAUCAUCGAGAAGAGGAAGAAGGCUGUGGCAGAUGGGGAGAAGCCGAAGAGAACUAAGUUUUAAUGUUCUCCCCUCUUGCAUCUUUUGGAAUAUUUAGAACAUCUGAAGAUCUUGCAAUAUAUUGUUUGCUAGAAAUCCUGUUUGUAUUUUGUGGAAUACUAGAUUGUGUAUAGUUUUGAUUACUUGUUAUCUUUAUUUUUGGAAAUGUAACCAUCAAUGAGAAUGGGAGCACAAUGUUUUGCAGCUUUUACACAAACAGAUCAAUGUCUCUAUUAACUAAGCAGGGUCAGUCCUGGUCUGUCCCUGGAUGGGAGACCAGAUGCUGCUGGAAGUGGUGUUGGAGGGCCAAUAGGAGGCACUA